rnacentral:rRNA from 1 species
UGGGGAAUUUUGGACAAUGGGCGCAAGCCUGAUCCAGCAAUGCCGCGUGCAGGAUGAAGGCCUUCGGGUUGUAAACUGCUUUUGUACGGAACGAAACGGCUCUGGUUAAUACCUGGGGCUAAUGACGGUACCGUAAGAAUAAGCACCGGCUAACUACGUGCCAGCAGCCGCGGUAAUACGUAGGGUGCGAGCGUUAAUCGGAAUUACUGGGCGUAAAGCGUGCGCAGGCGGUGAUGUAAGACAGAUGUGAAAUCCCCGGGCUCAACCUGGGACCUGCAUUUGUGACUGCAUAACUAGAGUACGGCAGAGGGAGGUGGAAUUCCGCGUGUAGCAGUGAAAUGCGUAGAUAUGCGGAGGAACACCGAUGGCGAAGGCAAUCCCCUGGACCUGUACUGACGCUCAUGCACGAAAGCGUGGGGAGCAAACA